rnacentral:tRNA from 1 species
GGGCCGUUAGCUCAGCGGCAGAGCAGCGGACUCUUAAUCCGAAGGUCGGAGGUUCGAAUCCUCCACGGCCCACCA